UAAUGGAUAUAUAAUAUAAAUAAAUGAGGUCGCAUCGUGAUACACGUCGAUUAUAAGCUCAAAUAUUUCCUAACCCAAACGUCGAAAGGUGAAGUCGAAAAAAAAGAGGAUUUUGUCACCUCCACCACCGUCGAGAUUGGUUGCGAAUUACUAUCUCUGUCGAUCAAACCGAAUUUUCAUGGUUGGCCAAUCGCGUAAGUGGCUGGUUCUUGUGGCGACGAUAUGGAUUCAGGCAUUCACUGGCACCAACUUCGAUUUUUCGGCCUACUCUUCCAAACUGAAAUUAGUAUUAGGCAUUUCUCAAGUUCAGCUUAAUUAUCUAGCCACCGCCUCCGAUCUCGGCAAAGUUUUUGGUUGGUCCUCUGGAUUAGCUUUGCUUCAUCUUCCGUUGCCGGUGGUUAUGUUCAUUGCUGCUUUUUUAGGAUUCAUCGGCUAUGGCUUCCAAUGGCUCCUAAUCGCUGAUUUCAUCUCCUUACCCUAUUUCCUGGUGUUCUUCUUGUGCUUGCUUGCCGGUUGCAGCAUUUGUUGGUUCAACACAGUUUGUUUCGUUCUUUGCAUUCGAAACUUCUCAGCAAAUCGCCCAUUAGCAUUAUCUCUCACUGUUAGCUUCAAUGGCGUCAGUGCCGCUUUCUACACUCUCGCCGGCAACGCCAUUAAUCCCUCUUCACCUCCCAUUUACCUUCUCCUCAACGCUCUCAUUCCCCUUCUCAUCUCCAUCGUCGUCUUCCUCCCCGUCCUCCACCAACCCCCUCUUCAUUCUCUUUCCCUCCCCUCCGACGCCGUCCACCGAGACUCCCUCAUUUUCCUCAUCUUGAACUUCCUUGCCAUCAUCGUCGGAAUCUACCUUCUCCUCUUCGGCUCUGUCACUUCCGCUGAUCCCAUGAUCGCACGCCUACUCUUCAUCGGAGCCAUUGUUCUUCUUAUCUUGCCUCUCUGUAUUCCUGGUAUUGUCUAUGCUAAUGAUUGGUUCCAUCGAACCGUUAAUUCCAGCUUCCGUCUCGAUGGAUCUAACUUCAUUCUCGUCCACGACGAAGAUCUCGAGUUUCACAAAGAGUUGUUGCUUAGUCUUGAAUCCAAUGGAAGCUUCGGCAAUGGCGAAUCUCCGUUGUUGUCUGAAUCUGCUUCGUUAAUUGACGGUGAGACUGAACCAUCGAAAGGCUGCUUGAGGAAAUUGAUUGAGAUAGAUCAAUUAGCGAUGCUUGGGGAAGAACAUUCGUCGAGUCGAUUGGUGAAACGCCUGGAUUUUUGGCUGUAUUUCAUUGCUUACAUUUGUGGAGGCACAAUCGGACUCGUUUACAGCAACAACAUAGGUCAGAUUGCGCAAUCCCUAGGUUUAAGUUCAAGAACCAAAGCGAUUGUAACACUCUACUCCUCAUUCUCUUUCUUCGGCCGAUUGCUCUCCGCCGUACCAGACUACAUUCGAGCGAAAUUGUAUUUUGCAAGAACAGGAUGGCUUUCGAUUGCUCUAAUUCCAACUCCUAUAGCAUUCUUCCUGCUAUCGGCAUCAUCCACCGCAAUGGCAGUUUACAUAGGCACGGCGCUGAUCGGCUUAAGCUCCGGAUUCAUAUUCGCAGCAGCAGUUUCCAUUACCGCGGAGCUGUUUGGACCAAAUAGCUUAGGCGUUAACCACAACAUUCUGAUCACAAACAUCCCUAUCGGAUCUCUGCUAUACGGCAUGCUUGCGGCGGUGGUGUACGAUUCACAGGGAAAAAGCUCGGACAACGGGGAGGCGAUUGUAUGCAUGGGAAGAAGACACUUUUCAAAUUUGGAAGAAGCAUAGGAAGUCAAUGAAGAUGGCGAGAAGGCAAAGUUACAUUAUAUUAAGGCAGAUUUUUGGGAAAUUUGUAUUGCAAGUAUUUGAUUUGGAUCCAUGCAUCUCACAUGGUGUGGCUUCUUCUUGAAGAAAAAGAGAGACACCAUUUCUGGCAUGUUUUGGUGAGGCAGAAGCAGACCAGUGGCCAGAAGUAACAGCCAUGUCCUUGAACUGAAGAAGGUUUUCAAGAGCCUCAACAAUGGCCGGCAUUCUAGGCCUGUCUUUAGGAUUCAAGCUGGUGCUUUGGAGGGCAAGACUGGCCAUUCCCUUUGCUCCUUUCACAGAAUACUGCCCACAAAGCCUCGGGUCCAUUAUGCAAUGCAACCUGCGAGAGCUACUGAGGUAUGGCUUUGCCCAAUCCACAAGGUUUUGGUCAUUCUUUGCUCUUGAUUUGUCCAUUGCUCUUCUUCCUGUUAGAAGCUCCAAAAGUACCACUCCAAAACUGUAUACAUCGCUUUUCGUUGUCAAAUGCCCUACGAUAAACAUCGUACCACAAACCACAUGAGUGUUAUGCAUGAAUGAGACUAGAUGUUGGACACUAGGCUUGAGCAACAAUCACUAUAGAUCUAAAAAUACUUUUUAACCACUUAAAAAGUCAUUACCAAACAUAUCCAAUGAUACUAUAAUAUCAUGACCCUAAGUGCAGAUUUAGUAUGGAGAAUUUGUAAU